rnacentral:rRNA from 1 species
GACGAACGCUGGCGGCGUGCUUAACACAUGCAAGUCGAGCGGAGCGGCGAACGGGUGAGUAACGCGUGAGUAUCUGCCCCCCUCUCUGGGAUAACAGUUGGAAACGGCUGCUAAUACCGGUUAGUGGGGGAUGACGGGCGUCCAAUCAGCUUGUUGGUGGGGUAGUGGCCUACCAAGGGGACGCCGGUUGGCCGGCCUGAGAGGGCGACCGGCCACAGUGGGCUGAGAGACGGCCCCAAGUCCUACGGGAGGCAGCAGUGGGGAAUCUACCGAAAUAGGGGGACCCCGGAUGCAGAAAUCCGCGUGCGGGAUGACGGCCUUCGGGGUGUAAACCGCUUUCAGCCAUGACGCGGUAGUGGCAGAAGAAGCACCGGCUAACUACGUGCCAGCAGCCGCGGUAAUUC